CACGUAGGGGUGCGAGCGUUUGUCCGGGAAUUAUUGGGCGUAAAGAGCUCGUAGGCGGUGUGUCGCGUCGGCCGUGAAAACCUGCAGCUUAACUGUGGGGCUUGCGGUCGAUACGGGCAUCACUGGAGUUCGGCAGGGGGAGACUGGAAUCCUGGUGUAGCGGUGAAAUGCGCAGAUAUCAGGAGGAACACCGGUGGCGAAGGCGGGUCUCGUGGGCCGAUACUGACGCUGAGGAGCGAAAGCGUGGGGAGCGACAGG
rnacentral:rRNA from 1 species